UACGGAGGAUGCGAGCGUUAUCCGGAUUUAUUGGGUUUAAAGGGUGCGCAGGCGGCACGGCAAGCCGGCGGUCAAAUCGCGGGGCUCAACCCCGCCCAGCCGUCGGGACUGCCGGGCUAGAGUGGGCGAGAAGUGCGCGGAAUGCGUGGUGUAGCGGUGAAAUGCAUAGAUAUCACGCAGAACUCCGAUUGCGAAGGCAGCGCACCGGCGCCCUACUGACGCUCAGGCACGAGAGCGUGGGUAUCGAACAGG
rnacentral:rRNA from 1 species